CGGGAAAAGCUCAAAUUUAAAAUCUGGUGGCCCUUCCGCCAUCCGAGUUGUAAUUUGCAGAGGGCGCUUUGGCAUUGGCAGCGGUCCAAGUUCCUUGGAACAGGACGUCACAGAGGGUGAGAAUCCCGUACGUGGUCGCUAGCCUUUACCGUGUAAAGCCCCUUCGAC
rnacentral:rRNA from 1 species